GUCCAUGUCCAUGCUACCCUGAACAAGCCCAAUCCCGUCUGAUCUCGGAAGCUAAGCAGGGUCGAGCCUGGUUAGUACUUGGAUGGGAGACCACCUAGGAAGACCAGGGACUGUAGGCA
rnacentral:rRNA from 1 species